CUGCAGAUGUGGAACUCGUGGAUACAUAGGGCCGACUGUAUAUGAAAAGUAUGAUGUGAGUUAUCAGUUGAAGAAGAUUUAAGGGAAAUUUUUUUUUCUCUUAAGCUACCUAUGACUUAGAGCAAUUUGGUAAAGAAUGCUUUUGUGAACAAAGAUAAAACAAUUACUUUUUGUCCCUGCCUGAUUCCUCCAGAAUUCAGAAACUCUCAAAACGCCUUUUAUCAAAUACCUGAUUGCUUGUGCAAUGUAGUCCUAACUUUGGGAGCCCAUCUGCAUCAUUGCCUCCUAAAAUGAGUUCAACCCAGCUGACCUAUUCUCAGGACUAAGAAACUGGUUCGAUGAAAUAGUGGAGCAAUCUACCACCUCAAUUUCAACAUGUGAAACUUCCAAGGAAGUUCCAGAGGAGAGAACUAAUAGAGUUCAUGGUAGGCCAUCCCAAAAUAUGACACUUUGGCAUAUUGGUUAUUUUGAAUUAAAGUUACUUGAGAAACAGCCAGUGCAAGAAGAACACUCUGACCCUCCUUUGUUCCCCUGAAACCAGGAAACAAACACCCAUGGGAAAGUAUUCUCCCUAUAUCAGGAGGAUGGAGGGCAUCCUUAUCACCCGAGAUAGGGAACUCGGAGCAGAGGAAGCUAUAUAAGUAAAUUUUGUUACCUCCUCAUUAAUUUGCUACUCCAAGCCCAAACUCCCUUAUUUUGUCAAAUAUUCACCAAUAAUUGUUUCUUUGUCUAAAUGGUAUAUAAACAGCCUGCUUUGGUCAUUUCCUUGAGCACUCUAUUGUUAUGAUCUCCCAUAUGUAUGUAUUAAAUUGGUUUUCUUCUCAUUAUUCUACCUUGUAUUAAUUUUAUUAUUAGUCCAACCAUAAGAACUCUAGGGGUAAGGGGAAUACUUCCUCCCUACCCCCCGCUAUCAGGAGUUGAGCUGCUUGGACUGGACGUUCCUAUCAUCCUCAUGAUGCUGAUAUGCAAGUGAUGAUGUUUUGCAUUUUCAG
ensembl:lncRNA